rnacentral:rRNA from 1 species
AUUGAACGCUGGCGGCAGGCCUAACACAUGCAAGUCGAACGCGUGGCGGACGGGUGAGUAAUGUCUGGGAAACUGCCUGCUGGAGGGGGAUAACUACUGGAAACGGUCGCUAAUACCGCAUACCAUCGGAUGUGCCCAGAUGGGAUUAGCUUGUAGGUGGGGUAAAGGCGCACCUAGGCGACGAUCCCUAGCUGGUCUGAGAGGAUGACCAGCCACACUGGAACUGAGACACGGUCCAGACGCCUACGGGAGGCAGCAGUGGGGAAUAUGGCACAAUGGGCGCAAGCCUGAUGCAGCCAUGCCGCGUGUAUGAAGAAGGCCUUCGGGUUGUAAAGUACUUUCAGCGGGGAGGCGUUACCCGCAGAAGAAGCACCGGCUAACUCCGGGCCAGCAGCCGCGGUAAUAC